UUCAAUCUUACACAUACUAUGGGCUUGUGAUAAACAGACUUCAGUGCCAUAUAAAAAUCUCCAUUUACCCCAUACUCUAUAAUGUUUAUUUUUUUAAU